ensembl:lncRNA
GUGGGAAGGGGGUAGUUCAUUGGCAUCUUUGGAACUGAUUAAUUGAUUUAUGUCACUCACCUUGGACCCCUGUGAUCUCCUCUGGCCCUGUGCUUCUCCCCUGAUCUUCUGUGGCUGUAGCUCUCUAGGCAACCAGAUCUGCUCUGCAGGAGUGAUGGUGGGGAGUCCACCUGGGGAGUUCACACGUUUAACCUCUGAACCAGGAAAAGGGCCCAAAGGGGGUGACUCAUCCAGGAAAGCAGACCAAGGCCUUUGUCGAGUUGGGAUGCGUUCCCCAUGAUCGAGAAGGAGCUGUUCUGGACUGUGUUUGUUGGCGUGUUUUCUAGAUUCAGUCUUAGGCUGGUCCACAGACAUCUCAACUGACUGCAGCUCCCAGGGGUCCUGAGGAGGCGUCGUCCAUACUGGGUUUGAGAAACCUACUGAAGUCUGUGGUGGUAUCUUCCAGCUAAAGUCACUUUCAGGUGUAGGCUGUAAUUUACCCCCAAAGUCAGCAUUUAGUCCCUGCAUUCCCAAUGAAGGAAACAAGUCAUUAUUAGAGGAGAGCUGAGCUUGAGAUGUAAAGGAGUCUAUGUCAAGAAUGGUAGGCUUGUAAGGCUCCUUCCAGCGGGUUGCAGCAUCGCUGCGUUGAGAAGUAGACUUAGACAUUGGUUCAUUUCUGAGCACAGAGUCCAGAUCAAGAACUUUGGGUUUCAGAGGUGAUGGCUCCAACUUUAGCCUCUCUUGCUCCUCUUUUUUCUGCUUCUCUUUUAGUCGCUGUCUCUCUGCUUCUUGUUGCUUGGCUAUGACUCGCAUCCGUUCUGCCUCCUCCCUUUCCAUCUUUUCCCUCAGUCUGUGUUUCUCAAACUCCGCAAUUUGUUGUCUUUCCCUCUCUGCCUGCUUUUGCUUUUCGUACUCCAAGAGCUGUAAUCUCUCAAGCUCUUUAAGUCUCUCAACAUCCUCCUUCCUCUUCCUUUCCUUCUCCAGUUCCUGUUGUCUCAGCCUCUGGUUUUCUAAUUUCUGUCGCUCAAUGUCUAGUUGCCUCUGUUUUUCGAGCUCCUGAAUUUGUUGUCUCUCCCUCUCUGCCUGUUUUUGCUUUUCAAACUCCAGGAGCUGUAAUCUCUCCAGCUCUUUAAGUCUCUCAACAUCCUCCUUCCUCUUCCUUUCCUUCUCCAGUUCCUGUUGUCUCAGCCUCUGGUUUUCUAAUUCCUGUCGCUCAAUGUCUAGUUGCCUCUGUUUCUCAAGCUCCUGAAAUUGUUGUCUUUCCCUCUCUACCUGCUUUUGCUUUUCAAACUCCAGGAGCUGUAAUCUCUCAAGCUCUUUAAGUCUGUCUACAUCCUCCUUCCUCUUCCUUUCCUUCUCCAGUUCCUGUUGUCUCAGCCUCUGGUUUUCUAAUUUCUGUCGCUCAAUGUCUAGUUGCCUCUGUUUUUCGAGCUCCUGAAUUUGUUGUGUCUUACUCUCUGCCUGUUUUUGCUUUUCAAACUCCAAGAGCUGUAAUCUCUCAAGCUCUUUAAGUCUCUCUACAUCCUCCUUCCUCUUCCUUUCCUUCUCCAGUUCCUGUUGUCUCAGCCUCUGGUUUUCUAAUUUCUGUCGCUCAAUGUCUAGUUGCCUCUGUUUUUCGAGCUCCUGAAUUUGUUGUCUCUCCCUCUCUGCCUGUUUUUGCUUUUCAAACUCCAAGAGCUGUAAUCUCUCCAGCUCUUUAAGUCUCUCUACAUCCUCCUUCCUCUUCCUUUCCUUCUCCAGUUCCUGUUGCUCAAUGUCUAGCUGCCUCUGUCUCUCCCUUUCUAAAUCUUGUUGUCUCCGUUUCUCCAGCUCCCUCUGUAUCUCUUUCUGACGCUCCUUCUCCAUCUCCUUUUCUCUUUCCCGCUCUUUUUCAAGCUCUUUUACUCUUAACAUUUCUUGCUCUAAUGCGAUCUGUCUCAUCUUGUCUGCCUCUUCUUUUUCCUUUUUUUCUUUUAGCUGCUGGAUUUCCUUUUCUUUCUGCUUCUGUCUUUGAAGGUCUAAGAGCUGCAGUCUCUCUAACUGUUUUAGCCGCGCUUCCUCCUUUUGUUUUUGGUGUUGCUCUCUCUCCCUUUGUCUCUCUAGUUCUCGCCUUUUUUCUUUCUCAAGUUUCCUCUGCUUCUCUCUUUCAAGUCUCUGUUUCUCCUCCAAUUCUUGCACUUUCUCAAGCUCAGUCUGUUUCUGCCUUUCCAGGGCACGCUGUUUCUCCUCAAAUUCUUGUUUCUCCUUUUCAAAUGACUUCUGUCUUUGCCUUUCAAAUUCUCUUUGCAUCUCCCUCUCCUUCAUUCGUGUAAAUUCUAAAUGUGCUAGUUUCUCCAUUUCCAGCUGUGUCUGUUUUUCCCUUUCAAUUUCUUUUAUCUUAGUCCUGUGCCUUUCUUUCUCCUUCCUUUGCUCCCUUUUCUUUUCAGCUUCUAGCCUUUCCUCUUUACUCUGUCCAUCUAAGGCUAAACUGCUCUCCCUGGGUGACUUGUGGCUUCUUAUCAUCAAAUCUUCAACUUGCUCUUGCGAUGGAGUUGUUUUUCCAAAAGGAUCAUCAUUUAAAGACUGGCUCCCCCUUACUGGAAGACUCUUCCCUUGAGGGCCACUCAGGAGAGAAAUCCCUAAGAAAUCAUCAGAGGGGCUAGUCAUGUCCCCAGUGUUUGUCCCUGCACCCCCGAGAGAAACUGGCUCCUGUAUUUGUCCGGUUAAAGCAAAGUAGGUUGCCUUGGGUUUUGCCAUUUCGUCUGCCUGCAGCAUCUUCAAGCGUUUAGGUGCUGCCGCCACUUCUUCUUGUUCUGCCACUCUUUGUCUCUCCUUGUCUUUAUCUAAAGUCACUUGUCCCUCCCUUUGUGAUUCCUUUAGCAUCCCCGUUUCCAUAUCUACGUCUUGGUCGAGACCUGAAGUUGUCCACUUCUGUAAGGCUCCUAUCCUCAGAUAUCGUGGCUGUGUUUGAGGCAUCAAAGGUGCCAAAGGUGGCUGUUCUUGUGCAGGACUGGUCCAUUCUGGUAGAGGCCUGCUCCCUUCUGAGCGUCUGGAACGGAGGGUCAUGGCCUUAUCCUCCCACUGAGCUGAUGGGACGCUCUCACUCACUGCCCGACUCUCUUCGACAGCCUGCACUGUGUCAAAGGCAUGUAAUACGGGCUGAAGACAUGAUGGCGAUAAAGGCUGGCUGUAGUUAGCUGUGACUGGAGCCCCGUUAUUUUCAGUAACUGUUCUAUCAAAUGGAGACGUGCUGCUGAGCAAAUCCUUGGCCGUGUCAACAGAUGAGCCAUCAUCCAUCAACACCACGCUGUGCCUCUCCACGACAUUAUCAAACAAGGAUGCUCGCACCGUUUGGACUCCACUGCCUGCACCAAUUUCCUUGGAAACAGCACCAAACGUCUGUCCUGCUUCAGGCCCUUCAGGCGUGGAGACCUUUUUGAGCUGCUCUUGGGAAUCUUUUAAAUCCAAAAAUGUCUUCUGGUCACUGGGAGUGAUAGCCGACUCUUCAGCC